rnacentral:rRNA from 1 species
UACGUAGGGGCAAGCGUUGUCCGGAUUUAUUGGGCGUAAAGAGCGUGUAGGCGGCUUUACAGGUCCGUUGUGAAAACUCGAGGCUCAACCUCGAGACGCCGGUGGAAACCGUAAAGCUAGAGUCCGGAAGAGGAGAGUGGAAUUCCUGGUGUAGCGGUGAAAUGCGCAGAUAUCAAGGAGGAACACCCGUAGCGAAGGCGGCACUCUGG